rnacentral:lncRNA from 1 species
CGCGCUCUCAUCUCUUCCUCUCCGGGAAAAGCUCCCCGCGGCCUCUCAAGUCCUCAAAUGGACCACAAGGCUCUGGUGCCCGAGGGGAGGAGGAAGGCGACGGUGUCCCCGAGAGCCGGUCGCCGACGCGCGCUCUCACCAGCUCGGCUCGCAGCCCGGGCAGGGCGCUCUAGACGCUCGGGUCUCUGCUCCUCCUGCGCCUCCGCUUCCGCCUCCGCCGGGGGGCGCCGGGAGCCUCCUCGCGGCACAGCCAGCUGGAAGACGCCCGCCAGCCGCCGCCUGAGGUCUUCCGGCAGCCGGCAUGGGGGCGACGGGGGCCUCCUCCUGGCCGUCCGUGCGCUUACUGCCCCCGGGGGAGCCGCGCGUCGGGCAAGGGCCUCGGGGCCAAAGCACAACACUGACUGGGACUCCGUGGGGUCCCCGGGAAGUCGCUUCUCUGCGGCUGCCGGAGUCCCCGGGGCCCAUUCCAGAGGCGGCGGGGCCCAUUCCAGCGGCAGUCGGAGGAGGUGGUUCCCCGUAACUCCGCGAAGAGGUUGCAACUGGAUCACUUCUUGCUCCUUGGAGUGUCUAAGAGGAAGACUUGUAUCUCUCCAGACAUUUUUAUUCCUCCACGCCUUUGCACAUGUGCUGUUCCUGUGUGUGGAAUGCCCUUCUCACCUUACCCAGCUAUUAUGA